GCAUUCUGGUCUAGACAUGGCUGCCAGUAAAGGGUUAGUUGGUUUGCUGAAACGAGGCUGGAAUGAAAUACCAGAGGUAGUUGCAACUACAGGAGCAGCAUUUCUCGCUAUUUUGGUUACUGCCCCGGUGCUGUACAAAAGGGAAGUAAUUGACGGUGGUGAGAAACAGCCACACCGGAUUCGUUACACAGGUAAUAAACAUAACUCAAAGAUCGGG